rnacentral:rRNA from 1 species
UUGGUGAGGUAAUGGCUCAYCWAGACGACGACGGGUAGCCGGCCUGAGAGGGCGACCGGYYWCACUGGGACUGAGACACGGCCCAGACUCCUACGGGAGGCAGCAGUGGGGAAUAUUGCACAAUGGGGGAAACCCUGAUGCAGCGACGCAGCGUGCGGGAUGACGGCCUUCGGGUUGUAAACCGCUUUCAGCAGGGAAGAAGCCACCUUUGGUGGUGACGGUACCUGCAGAAGAAGUACCGGCUAACUACGUGCCAGCAGCCGCGGUAAUACGUAGGGUACAAGCGUUGUCCGGAAUUAUUGGGCGUAAAGAGCUCGUAGGUGGUUGGUCACGUCUGCUGUGGAAACGCAACGCUUAACGUUGCGCGUGCAGUGGGUACGGGCUGACUAGAGUGCAGUAGGGGAGUCUGGAAUUCCUGGUGUAGCGGUGAAAUGCGCAGAUAUCAGGAGGAACACCGGUGGCGAAGGCGGGACUCUGGGCUGUAACUGACACUGAGGAGCGAAAGCAUGGGGAGCGAACAGGAUUAGAUACCCUGGUAGUCCAUGCCGUAAACGUUGGGCACUAGGUGUGGGGGACAUUCCACGUUCUCCGCGCCGUAGCUAACGCAUUAAGUGCCCCGCCUGGGGAGUACGGUCGCAAGGCUAAAACUCAAAGGAAUUGACGGGGGCCCGCACAAGCGGCGGAGCAUGCGGAUUAAUUCGAUGCAACGCGAAGAACCUUACCAAGGCUUGACAUACACCAGACCGGCCUGGAAACAGGUUUUCCUCUUUGAGGUUGGUGUACAGGUGGUGCAUGGUUGUCGUCAGCUCGUGUCGUGAGAUGUUGGGUUAAGUCCCGCAACGAGCGCAACCCUCGUUCUAUGUUGCCAGCACGUAAUGGUGGGAACUCAUAGGAGACUGCCGGGGUCAACUCGGAGGAAGGUGGGGAUGACGUCAAAUCAUCAUGCCCUUUAUGUCUUGGGCUUCACGCAUGCUACAAUGGCUGGUACAGAGAGAUGCGAGACCGUGAGGUUUUAGCGAAUCCCUUAAAGCCAGUCUCAGUUCGGAUCGUAGUCUGCAAUUCGACUACGUGAAGUCGGAGUCGCUAGUAAUCGCAGAUCAGCAACGCUGCGGUGAAUACGUUCCCGGGCCUUGUACACACCGCCCGUCAAGUCACGAAAGUCGGUAACACCCGAAGCCGGUGGCCCAAC